CACUUAUACUGUAUAAAAAAGCAUUCGAUCACAUUUGAAUCAUAUCACUUGGAACAUCGCCGUACAUGAUGCAUCUGCUGUACACGUGUUGUACUCUGGCCUGCGUGCUACUGUUGACCGAGAAUGCAGAUGCCUGGUGGCUAGGACGGAGACGAAGGACCCGGACCCAGACCCAGCAAACCUGUGAUCGCAACAACUUCAUCAAUGGCUGUUCCGUGCCCUACAAGUGGGUACCCUUCAAGGAGACAUUCAGGGCUGCUUGUAACAAGCAUGAUGUUUGCUAUUCCUGUGCUGCUGCUUAUGGAAUAUCAAAAGCAUCAUGUGAUUCGAAGUUUCUGGGAAAUAUGAACAGGAUUUGUUUGACGAAAUUCUGGCUUCCACAAUGCAGAACGGCGUCGUUAGCUUAUUAUUCGGCUGUCGCGGUAAAAGGAGGCCCAUACUUCAGUAAUUCCGCUUUAUCUGGCUGUAAUGCUUCGUGGGUGAAACAGUGUCUGUGAGUGUGAUGUCACUUCACGUCAUGUAUUCAAUAAAAUAAUAUUGAUUACAAUAA